rnacentral:rRNA from 1 species
AAUCAACGCUGGCGGCGUGCCUCAGACAUGCAAGUCGAACGAUUAAGACUUCCUUCGGGAAGUGCAUAAAGUGGCGCACGGGUGAGUAACACGUAAGUAAUCUACCCUCGAGUGGGGAAUAACGUUCGGAAACGGACGCUAAUACCGCAUAACGCAGCGGCACCGCAAGGUGACAGUUGUUAAAGGAGUAAUUCGCUUGAGGAGGAGCUUGCGGCAGAUUAGCUUGUUGGAAGGUAACGGCUUACCAAGGCUACGAUCUGUAUCCGGUCUAAGAGGACGGUCGGACACACUGACACUGAAUAACGGGUCAGACUCCUACGGGAGGCAGCAGUCGGGAAUUUUGGGCAAUGGGCGAAAGCCUGACCCAGCAACGCCGCGUGAAGGAUGAAGUAUUUU